GACGAACGCUGGCGGCGUGCUUAACACAUGCAAGUCGAACGCUGAAGCUUGGUGCUUGCUCUGGGUGGAUGAGUGGCGAACGGGUGAGUAAUACGUGAGUAACCUGCCCUUGACUCUGGGAUAAGCCUGGGAAACUGGGUCUAAUACUGGAUACGACAUGUCACCGCAUGGUGGUUUGUUGAAAGGGUUUUACUGGUUUUGGAUGGGCUCACGGCCUAUCAGCUUGUUGGUGGGGUAAUGGCUCACCAAGGCGACGACGGGUAGCCGGCCUGAGAGGGUGACCGGCCACACUGGGACUGAGACACGGCACAGAAUGCAACGGGAGGCAGCAGUGGGGAAUAUUGCACAAUGGGCGGAAGCCUGAUGAAGCGAAGCGGCGUGAGGGAUGACGGCCUUCGGGUUGUAAACAUAUUUCAGCACGGAAGAAGCGAAAGUGACGGUACGUGAAGAAGAAGCGCCGGCUAACUACGUG
rnacentral:rRNA from 1 species